rnacentral:rRNA from 1 species
CUUGCUCUUGGGAUUAGUGGCGACGGGUGAUACACGUGAUAACUGCCCUUGAUCUGGGAACCUCCGGAAACGGAAGCUAAUACCGGAUACGAACCGUGGAGGCAUCUCCAACGGUUGGAAAGAAUUUCGGUCAAGGAUGGACUCGCGGCCUAUCAGGUAGUUGGUGAGGUAACGGCUCACCAAGCCUACGACGGGUAGCCGGCCUGAGAGGGUGACCGGCCACACUGGGACUGAGACACGGCCCAGACUCCUACGGGAGGCAGCAGUGGGGAUAUUGCACAAUGGGCGCAAGCCUGAUGCAGCAACGCCGCGUGAGGGA